CUGAGAAAUUUGGGGGGAAUUUGGGAGGGAUUGGAAAGAGACUUUGGGGAUUUAAAGGGGAAAUUUGGGGAUUUUGGGGCUCCAGGUGCUGGAAUUGGGGUGGGAAAGUCACCUGGGGCUUACCUGAGCUCACCUGGGUAAAUUUGGGCACAAUUUGAUAAAAUUUGGGCAGAAUUUCAUGGGAAAACUUGGGAUUUUUUCACCCCCAGGUGUGCCCAGGUGUGCCCCCUCACCUGGCCUGGCCCAUGACGUCAUCACAGACCCAAAAAAGGUGAAUUUGGGGUGGAGUUUGGGUUGAAUUUGGGCAGAAUUUGAUGAAAUUUGGGCAGAAUUUACCGGGAAUUUCGGGAUUUCUUUGCCCCCAGGUGUGCCCAGGUGUGCCCCCCUCACCUGGCCUGGCCCAUGACGUCAUCACAGACCCAAAAAAGGUGAAUUUGGGGUGAAUUUCAGGUUGAAUUUGGGCACAAUUUGAUCAAAUUUGGGCAGAACUCACUGGGAAUUUCGGGAUUUUUUUGCCCCCAGGUGUGCCCAGGUGUGCCCCCCUCACCUGGCCUGUCCCAUGACGUCAUCAAAGACCCAAAAAAGGUGAAUUUGGGGUGGAGUUUGGGGUGAAUUUGGGCACAAUUUGAUCAAAUUUGGGCAGAAUUCACUGGGAAUUUCGGGAUUUUUUCGCCCCCAGGUGUGCCCAGGUGUGCCCCCCUCACCUGGCCUGGCCCAUGAAGGAACCUCUGGUGCUUGGACAGGUAAAUUCGGGCACAAUUUGAUGAAAUUUGGGCAGAAAUGAAUAAAAUUCGGGCAGAAUUUGAUGAAAUUUGGGCAGAAUUCACUGGGCAUCUGCAGGUGUCCCAGGUGUGCCCCCCUCACCUGGCGGGGCAGAAGGGGAGAGGGCUGGCCCAUGAAGGGGACAGGCGGCACCUGAGCACGUGCUCGUACUUCUUGGGCAUCUGCUUCUCCACGUCCACCUUGAGCCGGCGCAGCAGGAACGGCGCGGUGUACCUUAUGCAAUCUCUUGACGAGGCUCUCGUUGUACUCCUGGCUGCCCUCGAUCAUGCCCGUCAGCGGGUUGUGGAACCACUCGCGGAACUCGCGGUGCGACUGGAACACGCUGGGCAUGAGGAAGUGCAUGAGCGACCAGAGCUCCAUCAGCGAGUUCUGCAGCGGCGUACCUGUCAGCAGCAGCCGCCGCUGGCUGCGGGGACACAGGUGACACACAGGUGAGGCAGGUACGGACAGGUACGGAUACGUACAGACGGCUAACCCAGGGGAACAGCCCCAGGAACAGCCCCAGGUGAGCUCCAGGUGUUCUCCUGCACCGUGUGCUCAGAGAUCGAUCUGCACAGGUGAGAGACAGGUACAGACAGGUCAGGACAGGUAAGGACAGGUAUGGACAGGUACAGACAAGUAUGGGCAGGUGAGGACAGGGAACAGAGGGGAACAGCCCCAGGAACAGCCCCAGGUGAGCUCCAGGUGUUCUCCUCCACUGUGACCAGGCUGAGAAGGGAGACAGGUGAGACACAGGUGAGACACAGGUGAGACACAGGUGAGACAGGUAAGGACAGUUAAACACAAGUACAGAUAGGUACAGACAGGUAACACCUGAAAACAGCCCCAGGUGACCCAGGGGAACAGCUCCAGGAACAGCCCCAGGUGAGCUCCAGGUGCUCUCCUGCACUGUGAUCAGGCUGGACAAGUGAGACAGGUGAGACACAGAUACAGACACGUACAGACAGGUAAGAACAAGUGAGACACAGGUGAGAC
rnacentral:lncRNA from 14 species